GGGCCCGCACAAGCGGUGGAGCAUGUGGUUUAAUUCGAUGAUACGCGAGGAACCUUACCAGGGCUUAAAUGUAGUGGGACAGGUCUAGAGAUAGACCCUUCUUCGGACUCAUUACAAGGUGCUGCAUGGUUGUCGUCAGCUCGUGCCGUGAGGUGUCAGGUUAAGUCCUAUAACGAGCGCAACCCCUAUCGUUAGUUGCCAGCGAGUAAUGUCGGGAACUCUAACGAAACUGCCAGUGCAAACUGUGAGGAAGGUGGGGAUGACGUCAAAUCAUCACGGCCCUUACGUCCUGGGCUACACACGUGCUACAAUGGCCGGUACAGAGAGCAGCCACUUCGCAAGAAGGAGCGAAUCCCCAAAACCGGCCCCAGUUCGGAUCGUAGUCUGCAACUCGACUACGUGAAGUUGGAAUC
rnacentral:rRNA from 1 species